UUUUUUUUGUUGUUUUUUUUUUGGAGACGGAGUGCAGUGGUGAAAUCUCGGCUCACUGCAACCUCCAUUUCCUGGGUUCAAGUGAUUCUCAUGCCUCAGCCUCCGGAGUAGCUGGGAUUACAGGUGCCCACGCCACACCUGGCUAAUUUUUGUAUUUUUGGUAGAGAUGGGGUUUCACCGUGUUGGCCAGGCUAGUCUCAAACUCCUGGUCUCAAGUGAUCCACCCACGUUGGCCUCCCAAAGUACUGGGAUUACAGGCGUGAGCUAUUGCACCUGGUCCCAUCACCACUCUUGAUGGCAAUGGUCUUUGGUUUGCAAGCCAGUUCUACCACCCGCCACCUUCGAGGCCUCGGGCAAAUCAUUUCAUCACUGGGAGCCCCAGUUCCCUCAGCUGGGACUUUGGGAACCAUACUUGUUGAAUGAAUGGAUGAAAUCAGGCAGGGUAUCUGGACUAAGUGAGAAACACCGCAGAUACCCCAACACGGGAGAUGUGUGACAUAGGAGCACUGGAGGCUCCUGGUUUUGGCACCUGGAUGGGGCCCUGUCUGGUCCAGCCUGCUCACAGGCGGGGAGAGGCCAGGGCCAACACGUGUGCUCAGCACAGGACUUCUCAGAGCCUUUGUGAAGCUCACAGUCCUGGGAACCUUCCAAGGGGUGGCAAUGAGCAUCGAGCAUGGACGUUAUUUGACCUUGUCCCCUCCCCGGGGAUUCCUGCUCCAUACAUCCCAAUGGCCACACCACCACUCCGUGCCCAGAGCACUGAUGGGGGCUGCUGCCUCCCUGCCCCCACCCACAGCUUGUUGAAUUUCUGCUGGGCACCUGGCCAUGGAAGGCCAGAUCCCCGGACUUGGGGUGCUGGCACCUACCCAGAGGUCUCCAGGGGGGCACCAGGGUCAUGCCAGCCUCCCUCCUUGGCAGGUGGGUGGGCAGGGCUGUGUCCUUACUUCCCUGGGCUCCUCUCAAACCCACCCCCAACCUGGGAGUUCUCUCUUGGCUGCCCAGCAGACUGUCUGCCUCCGUC
rnacentral:lncRNA from 1 species